CAGAGAGUAGUUUAAAUAAGAAUAUUAGCUUUGGGAGUUAGUGGUAAAAGUUUCUUUUUUCUCUGA
rnacentral:tRNA from 1 species